CCUACGGGAGGCAGCAGUGAGGAAUAUUGGUCAAUGGGCGGGAGCCUGAACCAGCCAAGUCGCGUGAGGGAAGACGGUCCUAUGGAUUGUAAACUUCUUUUGUGCGGGAGCAAUAAGGGCCACGCGUGGCCCGAUGAGAGUACCGCACGAAUAAGCAUCGGCUAACUCCGUGCCAGCAGCCGCGGUAAUACGGGGGAUGCGAGCGUUAGCCGGAUUUAUUGGGUUUAAAGGGUGCGUAGGCGGCGCUUCAGGUCAGCGGUGAAAUACCGGGGCUGAACCCCGGGGCUGCCGUUGAAACCGGAGCGCUAGAGUGCCGAUGCCGUCGGAGGAAUGUGUGGUGUAGCGGUGAAAUGCAUAGAUAUCAGACAGAACACCGAUGGCGAAGGCAGCUGACGAAUCGGUGAUUGACGCUGAUGCACGAAAGCGUGGGUAUCGAACAGGAUUAGAUACCCGAGUAGUC
rnacentral:rRNA from 1 species